CUGGGAGUUCCCAGGAGCCCCAGGGAGAGCCCUCCUGCCUCAGGCAGUGACCCUGCAUUCCAGGUUGUCCCGCUCAAACCCUUGGGAUUCCUAAGGUGGUUUAUUUCAAUGUCAGGAGCCUCCAUGACACGAGGGCAGUGAUCAUCCCCCUGGGCCAGGCACGGUGAGGUCGGACCUCAAAUCUUGGGGUCAGUUUUGGGCCCCACACGACAAUAAAGACACUGAGGUGCUGGAGUAUGUCUGGAGAAGGGCAAUGGAGCUGAAGAAGGGUUUUGUGCUUUAACCCCACCUGCCAAUUCAGUAAGGAAAAAAGAAAGGGAGAAAGAAACUCAUAAGGUGAGACAAUUUAGUAACUAGAAAAAAAUUCUGAAAAUA